rnacentral:rRNA from 1 species
GUUUACGGCCAUACCACGUUGAAUACACCAGUUCUCGUCCGAUCACUGAAGUUAAGCAACGUCGGGCUCGGUUAGUACUUGGAUGGGUGACCGCCUGGGAAUACCGAGUGUCGUAAGCU